UGCCCCUGCUCUUUCCAGAGCUGACACUGGUUGGGGCGCGCCGGGAAGCAGGGAGGGCAGAGCAUGAGCCUCCCGGGUCUUUCUGCAGAGAAUGGCCACGAUUUAAUGAAGAAGUGCAAAUGGAUGCACGACUGGAAAGAGGGAGUCUGGGUUUUUUUGACUAAAGACUUCGAGAAGUUUCAGCUUUACAAAAGAAGGAUGGAUGCUUCAUGGUCCACCUGUUCUUUCCAAGUAUUGCUUGAGGAUGUGCAUACUCUCACAGCGGUUUUUCCCGUGUGAGGUGUUUACACUCCAUUUUACAGAGUAUGGAAAAGACAUAAUAGUACUGAGGGAAAAGACCACAUUAGAAAUGUACCAAACCCCUUGGUUUCAUCCAGCAGAUGCAUUCAC